rnacentral:rRNA from 1 species
CAGCAGCCACGGUAAUACGAAGGGUGCAAGUGUUACUCGGAAUUACUGGGCGUAAAGCGUGCGUAGGUGGUGGUUUAAGUCCGUUGUGAAAGCCCUGGGCUCAACCUGGGAAUUGCAGUGGAUACUGGGUCACUAGAGUGUGGUAGAGGAUAGUGGAAUUUCCGGUGUAGCAGUGAAAUGCGUAGAGAUCGGAAGGAACAUCUGUGGCGAAGGCGACUAUCUGGGCCAACGCUGACACUGAGGCACGAAAGCGUGGGGAGCCAACAGGAUUAGAUAUCCCCGUAGUCCCUGUCUCUUAUAC